CUUGUCAAUAAAUGGUCUGAUGAAAGAAACAAGGUUUGUAACAAGAUAUGCGACCAACAAUAGUUUUUGCAUUCACAUCUACUGUACCAUAUGUAAAUACUUAUAUUCAUUUUUUAUGUAUAAAAUAUGUCAAAUGAAUAAGGAAAACCGAGAAGCUGUCAGGCAACACCAAAAGACGGGAUAUAUGUCCUAUGUUUCCUAUUUCAGCAAACUUAAAAAAGACAAGUACAAUAAUCAUGAUCCAAGUCCCAUUGAGUUUUUCAAAGACACCCAUACAAACAGCAAGACUGAUAGCAUGAGCUGAGUCAGGACUUCUAGCUCAUAAUGCGAUGGAAAAGAAAAGGGAAGCACAAUCAGAAGGUGAGCAGCCAGUAUCCGAUACAUCGAUUGUGGCUGAAGUUCUAAAGGAAGAAAGCGCCCAUAGUACCGUCCUUUCUAGCAUGGGGUAUGCAUCAAGAUCCGGGAGGUCUGGGAGCUCUACUUCAUGAGCCUAGAUCCGAUUUCUAGAAGAAAGAAUUGAAUAGAAGGAUAGAGAGGCAAGAGAUGCAAAUGACAGGCAUCGGGAGGAGUUAGUCGCAAGACUUGAAGCACGAGAGAGAGCAUUUUAAGAGAUACAAAAGAAGCAGCAAGAAGAAUUGGAAGCUUUAAAAAAGAGCCAGCAAGAGAAGACUGAAGCCUGGGCAAAGAAGCAAAAGGAGACGGGACAAUCUGCUUGAUUUUUUGAGGGCUCAAGCAACUCUGCAGUCCCAGUCCCAACCAGAUGGUUCAUGAAUGCCAUCCUUACAUUGCAAUCAUCAGGAUAACAUAUGUGGUCUUUAGUUAAUAUUAGUUUUCAUCUUGUCUAUUGUCUGUGUUAAACUUGAGUCAGCUUUUUACCGCCAUUUUUGUUUACAGAAUGAUUUGGCUGAGACGAUUUCAUACAUAAUAUGAUUUGUCUUUGA